rnacentral:rRNA from 1 species
AGUGAACGCUGGCGGUAGGCCUAACACAUGCAAGUCGAACGGCAGCACAGUAAGAGCUUGCUCUUACGGGUGGCGAGUGGCGGACGGGUGAGGAAUACAUCGGAAUCUACUUUUUCGUGGGGGAUGACGUAGGGAAACUUACGCUAAUACCGCAUACGACCUACGGGUGAAAGCAGGUGAUCUUCGGACCUUGCGCGAUUGAAUGAGCCGAUGUCGGAUUAGCUAGUUGGCGGGGUAAAGGCCCACCAAGGCGACGAUCCGUAGCUGGUCUGAGAGGAUGAUCAGCCACACUGGAACUGAGACACGGUCCAGACUCCUACGGGAGGCAGCAGUGGGGAAUAUUGGACAAUGGGCGCAAGCCUGAUCCAGCCAUACCGCGUAGGUGAAGAAGGCCUUCGGGUUGUAAAGCCCUUUUGUUGGGAAAGAAAAGCAGCAGGUUAAUACCCCGCUGUUCUGACGGUACCCAAAGAAUAAGCACCGGCUAACUUCGUG